rnacentral:lncRNA from 1 species
CAAAUAUGCCACCAUAUUAUCAUCAAAUUACAUGUUUAUAGGAUUGAUAGCGCUUAGUAUUGCUCACAAACAUUUUUUUUAUUUUAAGAUUUGAAUAGGAUGUCAAGUAUAUUUUCGAUAAAUAUAUUCAGGCAGACUGAAGGAAAAGAUCUGAAAAGGACAAAUAAGCCAGUCAUUUUUUUACAGCGGGAACAAAAUAACAAAUACACUUUCUGUACAACUAUCUUCUGUGAAAUAGUAAUAUUUUUGUGUAAUUUCGCAAUGUCAUUCAGUCUUCUUUCAUAAUGGGACUUCUUAAACCGUGAAAAGCAAUUGUUUUAAAC